CUCUUUCAUUUUUGAGUUUUCAUGAUCUCCUCCCUCUCACUGCCAUGGAUACCUCCGUCAAAGGUGAGGGCGAUGAGCGCGCGAUAGCCGAUCUCCUGUCUCAUGCAUGGCCGCUUCAUUUUCUUAAGCUUAUUGAGCGCCCCUUUACGUUGCUUGAGGAAGAACCACAGUCUAAAAGACACAACCCUGUAUAAGAGUUGAAAAGAUGUUUGAAAAAAAACUCAAACUAAGCUUCCAAGUCCACCUGACUUCAUUCUUUGCGUUUUACCAGAGAGGAAAGAUUCUUAUAUUUAUGUGUCUCAAGUAUUGUUUUCAGGAUUGAGCCACAAUGCAUUUUUCCUUCCAAGAUUUAUCAUCACUACCUUACCAAUGUGCUUCUCAAAAUCAAUUCUAAGGCAAGAACUAAAUCUUGAUAUCCAUAUCUCUACUUUUCUAAUUUGUGGACGCCUAUUGAUUUCUCCUGUCUGUUUCUGUUAACCUUCAUAACUUGGAGGAAUAAAUUCUUUGUUGGCACUAGAGCACUCCUCACAUGCCCCUCUGAUAAAAGAUACUCCUACCAUGAUUUUGUGGACAUUCCUUCUGUUGCAGCGGUUUUAGGCUCUCCAAGUUGGCCACUUAAUUCAAGUUGGAUGAUUCAAGCAGAAACAAUUUGACACGUUUGACAACUCUUAAGUCCCUAAACUGAAGAGAUUUGAUCCUACACAUUCAGAUAGGUGAUCUCUACCAGGUAUUUACACAUUUGGAAACACUCUUGAUGUUCAAAAUUAUUCAUAUGCCUCAGUACUUUGCUGAUGGAAUUGUUAAUUCAUUAUUUGGUUCAUCCAUUCUGAAGAUUAAACUUGAGCAGUGCUAAUAUGUUUUA